rnacentral:rRNA from 1 species
GCUGUGAGCUCGAUGAGUAGGGCGGGACACGUGGUAUCCUGUCUGAAUAUGGGGGGACCAUCCUCCAAGGCUAAAUACUCCUGACUGACCGAUAGUGAACCAGUACCGUGAGGGAAAGGCGAAAAGAACCCCGGCGAGGGGAGUGAAAAAGAACCUGAAACCGUGUACGUACAAGCAGUGGGAGCACCCUUUGGGUGUGACUGCGUACCUUUUGUAUAAUGGGUCAGCGACUUAUAUUCUGUAGCAAGGUUAACCGAAUAGGGGAGCCGGAGGGAAACCGAGUCUUAACCGGGCGUUAAGUUGCAGGGUAUAGACCCGAAACCCGGUGAUCUAGCCAUGGGCAGGUUGAAGGUUGGGUAACACUAACUGGAGGACCGAACCGACUAAUGUUGAAAAAUUAGCGGAUGACCUGUGGCUGGGGGUGAAAGGCCAAUCAAACCGGGAGAUAGCUGGUUCUCCCCGAAAGCUAUUUAGGUAGCGCCUCGUGAAUUCAUCUCCGGGGGUAGAGCACUGUUUCGGCUAGGGGGCCAUCCCGGCUUACCAACCCGAUGCAAACUGCGAAUACCGGAGAAUGUUAUCACGGGAGACACACGGCGGGUGCUAACGUCCGUCGUGAAGAGGGAAACAACCCAGACCGCCAGCUAAGGUCCCAAAGUCAUGGUUAAGUGGGAAACGAUGUGGGAAGGCCCAGACAGCCAGGAUGUUGGCUUAGAAGCAGCCAUCAUUUAAAGAAAGCGUAAUAGCUCACUGGUCGAGUCGGCCUGCGCGGAAGAUGUAACGGGGCUAAACCAUGCACCGAAGCUGCGGCAGCGACACUGUGUGUUGUUGGGUAGGGGAGCGUUCUGUAAGCCUGUGAAGGUGUGUCGUGAGGCAUGCUGGAGGUAUCAGAAGUGCGAAUGCUGACAUAAGUAACGAUAAAGCGGGUGAAAAGCCCGCUCGCCGGAAGACCAAGGGUUCCUGUCCAACGUUAAUCGGGGCAGGGUGAGUCGACCCCUAAGGCGAGGCCGAAAGGCGUAGUCGAUGGGAAACGGGUUAAUAUUCCCGUACUUGGUGUUACUGCGAAGGGGGGACGGAGAAGGCUAUGUUGGCCGGGCGACGGUUGUCCCGGUUUAAGCGUGUAGGUGUGUGUUCCAGGUAAAUCCGGUUCACUUUAACACUGAGGCGUGACGACGAGGCACUACGGUGCUGAAGCAACAAAUGCCCUGCUUCCAGGAAAAGCCUCUAAGCAUCAGGUAACAUCAAAUCGUACCCCAAACCGACACAGGUGGUCAGGUAGAGAAUACCAAGGCGCUUGAGAGAACUCGGGUGAAGGAACUAGGCAAAAUGGUGCCGUAACUUCGGGAGAAGGCACGCUGACACGUAGGUGAAGUGAUUUACUCAUGGAGCUGAA